rnacentral:rRNA from 1 species
GUGGUAAUGCCGGAUGCUCCAGUUGAUCGCAUGGUCUUCUGGGAAAGCUUUCGCGGUAUGGGAUGGGGUCGCGUCCUAUCAGCUUGACGGCGGGGUAACGGCCCACCGUGGCUUCGACGGGUAGCCGGCCUGAGAGGGCGACCGGCCACAUUGGGACUGAGAUACGGCCCAGACUCCUACGGGAGGCAGCAGUGGGGAAUAUUGCACAAUGGGCGCAAGCCUGAUGCAGCGACGCCGCGUGAGGGAUGGAGGCCUUCGGGUUGUAAACCUCUUUUAUCGGGGAGCAAGCGAGAGUGAGUUUACCCGUUGAAUAAGCACCGGCUAACUACGUGCCAGCAGCCGCGGUAAUACGUAGGGUGCAAGCGUUAUCCGGAAUUAUUGGGCGUAAAGGGCUCGUAGGCGGUUCGUCGCGUCCGGUGUGAAAGUCCAUCGCUUAACGGUGGAUCCGCGCCGGGUACGGGCGGGCUUGAGUGCGGUAGGGGAGACUGGAAUUCCCGGUGUAACGGUGGAAUGUGUA